GUGACAGCCCCGUACACAAAAAUGCACAUAUUGUGAGCUCGAUGAGUAGGGCGGGACACGUGGUAUCCUGUCUGAAUAUGGGGGGACCAUCCUCCAAGGCUAAAUACUCCUGACUGACCGAUAGUGAACCAGUACCGUGAGGGAAAGGCGAAAAGAACCCCGGCGAGGGGAGUGAAAAAGAACCUGAAACCGUGUACGUACAAGCAGUGGGAGCACGCUUAGGCGUGUGACUGCGUACCUUUUGUAUAAUGGGUCAGCGACUUAUAUUCUGUAGCAAGGUUAACCGAAUAGGGGAGCCGAAGGGAAACCGAGUCUUAACUGGGCGUUAAGUUGCAGGGUAUAGACCCGAAACCCGGUGAUCUAGCCAUGGGCAGGUUGAAGGUUGGGUAACACUAACUGGAGGACCGAACCGACUAAUGUUGAAAAAUUAGCGGAUGACUUGUGGCUGGGGGUGAAAGGCCAAUCAAACCGGGAGAUAGCUGGUUCUCCCCGAAAGCUAUUUAGGUAGCGCCUCGUGAAUUCAUCUCCGGGGGUAGAGCACUGUUUCGGCAAGGGGGUCAUCCCGACUUACCAACCCGAUGCAAACUGCGAAUACCGGAGAAUGUUAUCACGGGAGACACACGGCGGGUGCUAACGUCCGUCGUGAAGAGGGAAACAACCCAGACCGCCAGCUAAGGUCCCAAAGUCAUGGUUAAGUGGGAAACGAUGUGGGAAGGCCCAGACAGCCAGGAUGUUGGCUUAGAAGCAGCCAUCAUUUAAAGAAAGCGUAAUAGCUCACUGGUCGAGUCGGCCUGCGCGGAAGAUGUAACGGGGCUAAACCAUGCACCGAAGCUGCGGCAGCGACGCUUAUGCGUUGUUGGGUAGGGGAGCGUUCUGUAAGCCUGCGAAGGUGUGCUGUGAGGCAUGCUGGAGGUAUCAGAAGUGCGAAUGCUGACAUAAGUAACGAUAAAGCGGGUGAAAAGCCCGCUCGCCGGAAGACCAAGGGUUCCUGUCCAACGUUAAUCGGGGCAGGGUGAGUCGACCCCUAAGGCGAGGCCGAAAGGCGUAGUCGAUGGGAAACAGGUUAAUAUUCCUGUACUUGGUGUUACUGCGAAGGGGGGACGGAGAAGGCUAUGUUGGCCGGGCGACGGUUGUCCCGGUUUAAGCGUGUAGGCUGGUUUUCCAGGCAAAUCCGGAAAAUCAAGGCUGAGGCGUGAUGACGAGGCACUACGGUGCUGAAGCAACAAAUGCCCUGCUUCCAGGAAAAGCCUCUAAGCAUCAGGUAACAUCAAAUCGUACCCCAAACCGACACAGGUGGUCAGGUAGAGAAUACCAAGGCGCUUGAGAGAACUCGGGUGAAGGAACUAGGCAAAAUGGUGCCGUAACUUCGGGAGAAGGCACGCUGAUAUGUAGGUGAAGUCCCUCGCGGAUGGAGCUGAAAUCAGUCGAAGAUACCAGCUGGCUGCAACUGUUUAUUAAAAACACAGCACUGUGCAAACACGAAAGUGGACGUAUACGGUGUGACGCCUGCCCGGUGCCGGAAGGUUAAUUGAUGGGGUUAGCGCAAGCGAAGCUCUUGAUCGAAGCCCCGGUAAACGGCGGCCGUAACUAUAACGGUCCUAAGGUAGCGAAAUUCCUUGUCGGGUAAGUUCCGACCUGCACGAAUGGCGUAAUGAUGGCCAGGCUGUCUCCACCCGAGACUCAGUGAAAUUGAACUCGCUGUGAAGAUGCAGUGUACCCGCGGCAAGACGGAAAGACCCCGUGAACCUUUACUAUAGCUUGACACUGAACAUUGAGCCUUGAUGUGUAGGAUAGGUGGGAGGCUUUGAAGUGUGGACGCCAGUCUGCAUGGAGCCGACCUUGAAAUACCACCCUUUAAUGUUUGAUGUUCUAACGUGGACCCGUAAUCCGGGUUGCGGACAGUGUCUGGUGGGUAGUUUGACUGGGGCGGUCUCCUCCUAAAGAGUAACGGAGGAGCACGAAGGUUGGCUAAUCCUGGUCGGACAUCAGGAGGUUAGUGCAAUGGCAUAAGCCAGCUUGACUGCGAGCGUGACGGCGCGAGCAGGUGCGAAAGCAGGUCAUAGUGAUCCGGUGGUUCUGAAUGGAAGGGCCAUCGCUCAACGGAUAAAAGGUACUCCGGGGAUAACAGGCUGAUACCGCCCAAGAGUUCAUAUCGACGGCGGUGUUUGGCACCUCGAUGUCGGCUCAUCACAUCCUGGGGCUGAAGUAGGUCCCAAGGGUAUGGCUGUUCGCCAUUUAAAGUGGUACGCGAGCUGGGUUUAGAACGUCGUGAGACAGUUCGGUCCCUA
rnacentral:rRNA from 1 species